AUUUGUGGAGGAGGGACAGAACUCAGUAGCGAGAGACUGGAACUUUUUCUUUCUUUCUUCCCUUUUUUGUGUUGGGAGUAGAUAACUGGUACACUGGCAUUUCCCGGCUGAAAGGGAAAAUCCGCUUUUGGACUGGACUUAAAGGAAUAUUUUUGAUCUGCCACAUUGAUCUGCAGGCCGCUGGAGAAAAUGAAGUCUAGACCCAGUACAACAGCAUAUGCUAGAGCCUUAGCAGGAAGAACAGCAGCAGGUAGAGGGGACCACGAGUCCAUGGAGGAAGACUUUGUACAAUGAGUUCCUUACAAAGAUUCUCAUGCAGAAGGGUGUAACUUGCACCUGUGUCAACAAUAGCUUUCCCCUUCCAGGUAGCAGAAACAGAGUGACUGGUAGGUAAACCACCAGCUUUAGAAACUGGAAAUGUGGUUCGCUUACUGUUUGAGGAAUAGGGUUGACUGGAUUGAAGUGAUUGAGCAGAGACAAAGUGAGGACAGUGGCCCGGAGAGUGAUGUCCCUUACACCGCCAACAUUGCACUAAUGGAGGUUUUUCUUUCUCUGCCGGCCUAUUGGAGAUGGGUCUUUGGGGCAUGGAUGUGGAUUGCUUGAAACUCAUUCGUCCUUCAUAUUGUUGUUGCUGUUCAUAAUCUCUUUCAAGCUGUUGGCCUAAUUUCACCAGUUCAUCGACAUUGCUCACUCGACUGCGCAGCUGGCUAGCGAGGUAUGGCUUUAUAUUCUUUAAAAUCAUUUUUACCAGUUCGCUGUCAGUUAAGGUAGGUUUCCAUCUCUUGCAGAGAGCUCUGUAAGUAAAAGCGAAGUCUCUUAUGCUUUCCCUUUCACCUUGUGUUCUUGUUCUGACCCUUUCUGCUAGUUCGUCUUCGUAGUCUUCAGAAAGGAAGGCAGAAAGAAAAGCAGAUUCAAACUCAUUCCAUGUUUUUAUAGAUGAUCGUGCUACUUCCCACCAGUCUCGAGCAGUGCCAUAAAGGACAGAACGGAAAGUGGCCAGUAUGUCAACAUCGGUAAGAGGAUGGAGUGCUAAGAAGUCUUGGCAUCGGGAAGAGGCGCUGGACCAGAAACUGGGAUUGCAGAUAUGCACGAAAGCACAUUUUUCUGGUUGUGCUCCAUUUUGUCAGCAAGUUGAGCAAUCAAGGUAUCAUGGUGUGCAGACGUUGCUUUAAGCCCUUGGGAGUAGGGAGGUAGCCAGGAAGAUCAUGCUGUGUCACUGAGGAAGGAGGUGAAGCUUCAUCCGAGGCACUUGUGCACAGCUGCAUAGGAGUAGGGGCAUGUGAAACAGUGCCACUCGGAGGAGUGGUGGCAAAAUGUACCUGAGACCUGGGUUGAGGACUACUGAACUGAGUUGGGGUAAAAUGAAAGGUGGGAAUGAGAGGUGGAGGAAUGGGUCUGAGCUGCACAGGUGGCCAUACUGGAGUUGCUACAUCUGGGGGUGGUUCAAUCUCAACAGAUGUUGAAGGGGAAGGAGGGGUAGAGGCCAUACUUUGUAGUGUGUUUGUGUAAUAUGAGAAUGUAGUGUAAAUGUCAA